rnacentral:lncRNA from 1 species
GGGUGAGGAGCACCCAGCCCCAGGGGAGGAGCUAUGGGGUGCAUGCAGCCUGAGAGACAGUACAGAACAAGGACCCCAGGGCUCCACUCAGGACCAAGAGUGGGAGCAGAUCUUCCUCUUCCUGGUUCAGCAGAUUGGCGUGGUUCAUCACUUCCCAUCACAUGGGCCAUCUCUAGACCUGGAAGGGAAACCCUGGAAGGGGCUUGGGACCAAAUGCUUUGGUGAGCUGUGGACAAGGCCCAGUGCAACAGGACACAAAGGCCAGGGAAGAGCGGUGGGUCUUAUUUCUGACAGAAGAAUCACCCUGUCCCAGAAUGUGGGACCUGGAAGACCCUAUGGUUGGACAUUUUCAGUCUGGGGCCCCGGACACACUGGGUUAAAAGGAUGACUCACAGGUGGACUGUGGCUUACAGGUAAUGCCUGGCCAGUACUGUCCUUCUCUAAUGGGAAGGGGCCUGUCUCCAAAAGACCUGAGUCACUAUUCCCCAU